UUUUCAGUAACAAAAGUAAAAUAAAAUAAAAGUUAAGAUAUAUAUCAUUGUCGUGAAAUAAAAUUUAUCAUACUGUCAAAUAGGAUUUUGAUCAUAUCGCCCACCCCUAUAGUGACUUCUUAUAUUUAAUGAGUAGGCCAACUUCUGACACCAAGAAGGCUAUGGCAAUGGCGUUAAUUGAAGAGUUUCCCUGCCUUAAAGACAUCAGAGGCAAUGGCUAUGAGGCAUUUUACACACCAGGCCGGAACCACCGUCCAGCCACAGGCUUCAUUGAGGAGCGCUUACGAAACAUCAGAAAGAGAAUGAGAAAACUUUCCAGACCUCAAAGACAUGAAGAGGACACAUCACAUAGGAUGGUAAUCCCUGAACCUACUAUUCCAACGGAGAGAGCCCAAAGUCUUGUGAACUGGCUGAAAAAUAACCAUGCACCUAUUAACCAAGUGGUAGAAAAUAUGAAGGAGACAGCCUUAUAUCGGGCUAAGUGGAUCCGACAGAAUGGGACAAAGAGCAUCACAGAGGUUCUCCAUGAGUUCCCGCAUCUCUUGAACACACCUGGCAUGAUUUCCCAAGACUUUGAUCAGGUCCAUGGAGAAACUGGACUGAAGCUUUUUGAAUCGUGGGCCAAUUUCUUUGCUGACAGAAUUCUAAGGAUUGCGAUUAAGGAAGAAAAACUGAAUAAGACUUGGGAGAACAUUCCACAAGAGAAUCGAGGUGAUGUUGCUCUUUUGGUCCUUCCCCUACUUCUUCCUCCCACGGUAUACAGAAUUGGUCAGAAGGUCUUUCGACCAUCCAUUGACGAAGCUAGGAAGGCCUUCAUUGAUCUUCAACCAGUUGGAACAAAUAUGGUUGAAUUCAUUAACCGGCCAGAGUCCACAAAACACCAUCCCUUUGUCAUGGCUAUGGGAAAUGGCCAGCAAAUCUCCCAGGCAUUUGUGAUAAUCAAUGGACAGGCUCUGGAGCAGAGCACACUGCUCGCAGCUGUAGAUCUUUGUUUCAAAGCUUUCUAUGUCUUUGACAUGAACUACCCCAAGCAGUGCGCAUCGACCUGGGAGUUCAUGCAGCAUGUCGUCUUCCAAAUAGAGGGCAAUGAAACAUCUGCAGUUCGUUUUCUUCGCACAUCCUUAUUCGCUGAAGAGUAACUUUAAACACUGUAAUUCAGUCUACCUACAAGUCUAUAAUUUAUACUCCAUUUUCCCUCCUUUCUCUCACGCUAUUUUAUUCUCUGGACACUUUCUGGUAACUCGUAACCUCAAGGUCAUUGACGCUGCAAGUUAAGCAUUUAAAAAUAGUCCCAUACCAAAUUCUAAUCAAAUUUUAAGUGGUUAUAUGUAUGACUUUCUGUCUGUCUUUCUUUAAAAAACUGUAAUUGUUAUUUAUAUACUAUUUAUGUACUUGAUAUAAAUUUUAGGACAUCUUUAAAUUAUUUAGCAUUCUCUGUCAUAUAAAAAUUUUAAUGGUCAAUGUCAUUUCACUAUCUUAUUAAAUAGUUAAACGUAAAAAUGUAAUAAACAGUUUUUGCAUUUGCUGAAAAUAAAAAUGAAACAUUUUUUGUGCAGUUUGUCACUGGUACAAAUUUAAACAUUUAUUUGUUGGUU
ensembl:lncRNA